GAUGAAGAACGCAGCGAAAUGCGAUACGUAAUGUGAAUUGCAAAUUCAGUGAAUCAUCGAGUCUUUGAACGCACAUUGCGCCCCCUGGUAUUCCGGGGGGCAUGCCUGUCCGAGCGUCAUUGCUGCCCUCAAGCACGGCUUGUGUGUUGGGCCCCGUCCUCCGAUCCCGGGGGACGGGCCCGAAAGGCAGCGGCGGCACCGCGUCCGGUCCUCGAGCGUAUGGGGCUUUGUCACCCGCUCUGUAGGCCCGGCCGGCGCUUGCCGAUCAACCCAAAUUUUUAUCCAGGUUGACCUCGGAUCGGGUAGGGAUACCCGCUGAACUUAAGCAUAUCAAUAAGCGGAGGA
rnacentral:misc_RNA from 1 species